GAAAAGAACCCCGGCGAGGGGAGUGAAAAAGAACCUGAAACCGUGUACGUACAAGCAGUGGGAGCACAGGUUUACCUGUGUGACUGCGUACCUUUUGUAUAAUGGGUCAGCGACUUAUAUUCUGUAGCAAGGUUAACCGUAUAGGGGAGCCGUAGGGAAACCGAGUCUUAACCGGGCGUUAAGUUGCAGGGUAUAGACCCGAAACCCGGUGAUCUAGCCAUGGGCAGGUUGAAGGUUGGGUAACACUAACUGGAGGACCGAACCGACUAAUGUUGAAAAAUUAGCGGAUGACCUGUGGCUGGGGGUGAAAGGCCAAUCAAACCGGGAGAUAGCUGGUUCUCCCCGAAAGCUAUUUAGGUAGCGCCUCGUGAAUUCAUCUCCGGGGGUAGAGCACUGUUUCGGCUAGGGGGCCAUCCCGGCUUACCAACCCGAUGCAAACUGCGAAUACCGGAGAAUGUUAUCACGGGAGACACACGGCGGGUGCUAACGUCCGUCGUGAAGAGGGAAACAACCCAGACCGCCAGCUAAGGUCCCAAAGUCAUGGUUAAGUGGGAAACGAUGUGGGAAGGCCCAGACAGCCAGGAUGUUGGCUUAGAAGCAGCCAUCAUUUAAAGAAAGCGUAAUAGCUCACUGGUCGAGUCGGCCUGCGCGGAAGAUGUAACGGGGCUAAACCAUGCACCGAAGCUGCGGCAGCGAACGUAUCACCCAAGACAACUUUACGGAGUUGACGAUUGACGGAGCGAAGCGACGUCAAAGCGUUCAUUAAAGUCGAGUUGGCUUAGGGAUACGUUCGUUGGGUAGGGGAGCGUUCUGUAAGCCUGUGAAGGUGUGUCGUGAGGCAUGCUGGAGGUAUCAGAAGUGCGAAUGCUGACAUAAGUAACGAUAAAGCGGGUGAAAAGCCCGCUCGCCGGAAGACCAAGGGUUCCUGUCCAACGUUAAUCGGGGCAGGGUGAGUCGACCCCUAAGGCGAGGCCGAAAGGCGUAGUCGAUGGGAAACGGGUUAAUAUUCCCGUACUUGGUGUUACUGCGAAGGGGGGACGGAGAAGGCUAUGUUGGCCGGGCGACGGUUGUCCCGGUUUAAGCGUGUAGGUGUGUGUUCCAGGUAAAUCCGGUUCACUUUAACACUGAGGCGUGACGACGAGGCACUACGGUGCUGAAGCAACAAAUGCCCUGCUUCCAGGAAAAGCCUCUAAGCAUCAGGUAACACGAAAUCGUACCCCAAACCGACACAGGUGGUCAGGUAGAGAAUACCAAGGCGCUUGAGAGAACUCGGGUGAAGGAACUAGGCAAAAUGGUGCCGUAACUUCGGGAGAAGGCACGCUGACACGUAGGUGAAGUGAUUUACUCAUGGAGCUGAAGUCAGUCGAAGAUACCAGCUGGCUGCAACUGUUUAUUAAAAACACAGCACUGUGCAAACACGAAAGUGGACGUAUACGGUGUGACGCCUGCCCGGUGCCGGAA
rnacentral:rRNA from 1 species